ACAGGGAUUGCCUCAGUAACGGCGAGUGAAGCGGCAACAGCUCAAAUUUGAAAUCUGGCUCUCUUAGGGUCCGAGUUGUAAUUUGUAGAAGAUGCUUCGGGUGUGGCUCCGGUCUAAGUUCCUUGGAACAGGACGUCAUAGAGGGUGAGAAUCCCGUAUGUGACUGGCUGCCUUCGCCCAUGUGAAGCUCUUUCAACGAGUCGAGUUGUUUGGGAAUGCAGCUCAAAAUGGGUGGUAAAUUUCAUCUAAAGCUAAAUAUUGGCCAGAGACCGAUAGCGCACAAGUAGAGUGAUCGAAAGAUGAAAAGCACUUUGGAAAGAGAGUUAAACAGUACGUGAAAUUGUUGAAAGGGAAGCGCUUGCAACCAGACUUGCGUGCGGUCGAUCAUCCGGUGUUCUCACCGGUGCACUCGAUCGUAUUCAGGCCAGCAUCGGUUUCGGUGGUUGGAUAAAGGCCUUGGGAAUGUAGCUUCUCUCGGGGAGUGUUAUAGCCCAAGGUGCAAUGCAGCCUACCGGGACCGAGGACCGCGCUUCGGCUAGGAUGCUGGCGUAAUGGUUGUAAGCGACCCGUCUUGAAACACGGACCAAGGAGUCUAACAUCUAUGCGAGUGUUUGGGUGU
rnacentral:rRNA from 1 species